UACGAAGGGUGCAAGCGUUGUUCGGAGUCAUGGGGCGUAAAGCGCGCGCAGGCGGGUCAAUAAGUCAGGUGUGAAAUCUCGGAGCUCAACUCCGAAACUGCGCCUGAAACUAUUGGUCUAGAAUGUCGGAGGGGGUAGGGGAAUUUCACGUGUAGGGGUAAAAUCCGUAGAGAUGUGAAGGAACACCGGAGGCGAAGGCGCCUGCCUGGACGACUAUUGACGCUGAGGCGCGAAAGCGUGGGGAGCAAACAGG
rnacentral:rRNA from 1 species